UUUAUAAUAUAUUUUUGCUUAAAUUCAUAUUUGUUCUUUGUUUGACUAUAGUUUUCAUAUUUUAUUGGAUCAAAUUUUUUGGUAUUGUUUUCUAGACAUUAUUAUUAUAUUUUACUUGUAACUGGUUCUAGGAAAAUAUUUUCUAUAAUGAAAAAAAUCUUAUAGAAUUUUUUUAAAAGUUACCAAAUUAGGAAAAUCUCUCUAUAAAUUAAUAUUUAUUAAUUUAUCGAUAAAUUAAUACCUCUCCAAAUUAAUAAAAUUUCGUAGUCCUAACAUUAUUAAUUUAUAGAGGUUUUACUGUAGCUAGUUUUUACUUGUUACUAUUGUCUGUCUAAUUUCUACUACAACCUUGACAUACAUCACAGUAGUAACCUAAUUUCCCUUGAUCGCCUUUUCAACAUUCA
rnacentral:sRNA from 1 species